ACUCGUCCGCAACGGCUUCCUGACGCGGAUCGACAUUUAAACUGGAGCA
rfam:Octadecabacter antarcticus 307, complete genome.